GUUAUCACGGGAGACACACGGCGGGUGCUAACGUCCGUCGUGAAGAGGGAAACAACCCAGACCGCCAGCUAAGGUCCCAAAGUCAUGGUUAAGUGGGAAACGAUGUGGGAAGGCCCAGACAGCCAGGAUGUUGGCUUAGAAGCAGCCAUCAUUUAAAGAAAGCGUAAUAGCUCACUGGUCGAGUCGGCCUGCGCGGAAGAUGUAACGGGGCUAAACCAUGCACCGAAGCUGCGGCAGCGAACGUAUCACUUAAAGCGAUUCAGCGGGUUACGAUUGACGGAGCGAAGCGACGUCAAAGCGUAUACAAAGUCGAGUCGGUUUAAGGAUACGUUCGUUGGGUAGGGGAGCGUUCUGUAAGCCCGUGAAGGUGGCCUGUGAGGGUUGCUGGAGGUAUCAGAAGUGCGAAUGCUGACAUAAGUAACGAUAAAGCGGGUGAAAAGCCCGCUCGCCGGAAGACCAAGGGUUCCUGUCCAACGUUAAUCGGGGCAGGGUGAGUCGACCCCUAAGGCGAGGCCGAAAGGCGUAGUCGAUGGGAAACGGGUUAAUAUUCCCGUACUUGGUGUUACUGCGAAGGGGGGACGGAGAAGGCUAUGUUGGCCGGGCGACGGUUGUCCCGGUUUAAGCGUGUAGGUGUGUGUUCCAGGUAAAUCCGGUUCACUUUAACACUGAGGCGUGACGACGAGGCACUACGGUGCUGAAGCAACAAAUGCCCUGCUUCCAGGAAAAGCCUCUAAGCAUCAGGUAACACGAAAUCGUACCCCAAACCGACACAGGUGGUCAGGUAGAGAAUACCAAGGCGCUUGAGAGAACUCGGGUGAAGGAACUAGGCAAAAUGGUGCCGUAACUUCGGGAGAAGGCACGCUGACACGUAGGUGAAGUGAUUUACUCAUGGAGCUGAAGUCAGUCGAAGAUACCAGCUGGCUGCAACUGUUUAUUAAAAACACAGCACUGUGCAAACACGAAAGUGGACGUAUACGGUGUGACGCCUGCCCGGUGCCGGAAGGUUAAUUGAUGGGGUCAGCGUAAGCGAAGCUCCUGAUCGAAGCCCCGGUAAACGGCGGCCGUAACUAUAACGGUCCUAAGGUAGCGAAAUUCCUUGUCGGGUAAGUUCCGACCUGCACGAAUGGCGUAAUGAUGGCCAGGCUGUCUCCACCCGAGACUCAGUGAAAUUGAACUCGCUGUGAAGAUGCAGUGUACCCGCGGCAAGACGGAAAGACCCCGUGAACCUUUACUAUAGCUUGACACUGAACAUUGAGCCUUGAUGUGUAGGAU
rnacentral:rRNA from 1 species